rnacentral:rRNA from 1 species
AGUGAACGCUGGGGGUAGGCCUAACACAUGCAAGUCGAACGGCAGCACAGAAAGAGCUUGCUCUUACGGGUGGCGAGUGGCGGACGGGUGAGGAAUACAUCGGAAUCUACUUUUUCGUGGGGGAUAACGUAGGGAAACUUACGCUAAUACCGCAUACGACCUACGGGUGAAAGCAGGGGAUCUUCGGACCUUGCGCGAUUGAAUGAGCCGAUGUCGGAUUAGCUAGUUGGCGGGGUAAAGGCCCACCAAGGCGACGAUCCGUAGCUGGUCUGAGAGGAUGAUCAGCCACACUGGAACUGAGACACGGUCCAGACUCCUACGGGAGGCAGCAGUGGGAAAUAUUGGACAAUGGGCGCAAGCCUGAUCCAACCAUACCGCGUGGGUGAAGAAGGCCUUCGGGUUGUAAAGCCCUUUUGUUGGGAAAGAAAAGCAGCAGGUUAAUACCCCGCUGUUCUGACGGUACCCAAAGAAUAAGCACCGGCUAACUUCGUG